rnacentral:lncRNA from 1 species
AGUAACAGAGACGACUGCAGGGCUGACCUAAGCUUAGUAGCCUGGCUUCUCCGGGAGCUGAGGGGUCAUCAAGACAGGAGGAUAUGAGGCAGAAUCACCACACAAGCUAACCUGAUGUACAUAUGACAUUAAUCCAAUAGACUUAGGAAUAAGAUACAGGGGGUUUUCCUGAAUGAUUCGAGUAUAUCCCCAUUCAUAUUAAGAAAACAAAGUAUUGGCCAAGCGUGGUGGCUCACGCCUGUAAUCCCGGCACUUUGGAAGGCCGAGGCCAGUGGAUCACCUGAGAGCCUGCCUGGAGCAACCAGAUGGACUCAACGACUCUCUUACCGUCCAGCUCUCAAGUCCCUUCUCUUGUGAAAAUGGAAAAGUUGAACUACAGUUGAGAUAUUAUUCCCAGGUGUUCUUUGGAACACAGGGGAUUUCUCCAAAAGGCACAGAACAAAUUGCCUCCAAACAGCCAAGAUUCCAGCAGAAGCUGGAGUAGCAGACUACUUGGAUCUUCAAAGUACCUGGCCCUGAGUCAGUUAAGGAAGAUCUUUUCUUCUCUUUUGUACAAUCCUAUGAUGAGAGCUGCAAAGUGAACUGACUAAGAGCUUCUGCCUUGAUCAUUGACCUCCCAAUCCUAAUAAUAUGUUCACUGGCCAAACUUCCUAAUCGAUUUGUCUUUUGGAUAUAACGUUCCUCCUACUGUUUGCCUGAUUGAGAAAUCUGCUACAGAACAUGACCGGUUAGCAUUCCCACCAACCCCAGUGCUACACUGACUGUCUUUCGAUGGACUUUGCUCCUUGCUGCCUCUCUGAGGUCCCAGACCUUCAGAGUGACCUUCACAGCUCUGCCUAACUUUCUGUCAUACUUCUAUCAAGAGAGACAGCUAAAUCAAUAUUUUUAAUGUGCUUUGCUGUCGGAAUUCGAUGAUCUGUCACAGUUCUUGCCCAAUACACCCCAUCAUUAUUGUUAAAAUGUUUUUAGCUUUGUUUGUAGAAUUGCUUUAACUGGUUUCAUCUCUGGGAGCUACACUUUGAAAUAUAACUUUAGCAACAUUUUACUAUACUUUUUCACAACCCAGAGCAGUACUAUUUUAUGCUUAGUGGUUAAACUAAUUCCAUAAAUCUUUUGCAAC